ensembl:snRNA U6 U6 spliceosomal RNA
GUGCUCGCUUUGGGAGUACAUAUUCUAAAACUGGAAGGAGACAGAGAAGAUUAGCAUGACCCCUGUGCAAGGAUGACACACAAAUUCAUGAAGUGUUCCAUAUUUUU